GACGUAGGGCGCGAGCGUUGUCCGGAUUUAUUGGGCGGAAAGAGCUCGUAGGCGGCUUGUCGCGUCGUCCGUGAAAACUUGGGGCUCAACCCCAAGCUUGCGGUCGAUACGGGCAGGCUCGAGUUCGGUAGGGGAGACUGGAAUUCCUGGUGUAGCGGUGAAAUGCGCAGAUAUCAGGAGGAACACCGGUGGCGAAGGCGGGUCUCUGGGCAUUACCUGACGCUGAGGAGCGAAAGUGUGGGGAGCGAACAGG
rnacentral:rRNA from 1 species